rnacentral:rRNA from 1 species
UACGGAGGGUGCGAGCGUUAUCCGGAUUCACUGGGUUUAAAGGGUGCGUAGGUGGGAAUGUAAGUCAGUGGUGAAAUCUCUGAGCUUAACUCAGAAACUGCCAUGGAUACUAUUUGUCUUGAAUGUUGUGGAGGUAAGCGGAAUAUGUCAUGUAGCGGUGAAAUGCUUAGAUAUGACAUAGAACACCAAUUGCGAAGGCAGCUUACUACACAAAUAUUGACGCUGAGGCACGAAAGCGUGGGGAUCAAACAGG